ensembl:rRNA 5S_rRNA 5S ribosomal RNA
UUCUACAGCCAUAUCACCCUGCAGCCCAAAAGCAGUUACUCACUGAAGCUUAGCAGGGCUGAGCCUGGUCAGUCCCUGGGUGGGAGGCCACAUGUGAAAACUAGGCUGCGGUCGGAA